UUACACUCAUCUCUCAUCAAGGCCACAUUGAAAUGUUCACACCCUUAUUCAGCUUUGGAGUUUCCUCCUUGCGGGUCUCCCAGUCAAAUGCCAGAAACUCGUCAACAGCGUUUGAAGAUAAGCGGAGUUUAAAGCCUUGGGCCUUCAGACAAAGAGUUUCACUGCACUCUAGACAAUGAUCAUGGACAUGGAUAUACCCGAUAGAUCAACUGACAAUGUUCCAUGGCCACCCACGGGUACGAGUGGGCUAGGAGUCUAUUGUACAGUGUAAUCCACUCCUCUCAUCAGUUGUUGACCCUUUCCCCCCUCCCCCCUCCGGACAGACCGUAUUCCCUCCCAUACAUCGAGGAAUAGAAACACCAAUAGUGACAGCCAGGUAUAAUGGUAGACUUGGAGUCUAUUGUACGAUGGAAUCCAUUCCUUCCAGCAGUUCGGUUAACCUCUC